CGCGUAGGCGGUCCUUCAAGUCCCGCGUGAAAUCCCCCGGCUCAACUGGGGAACUGCGCGGGAAACUGUAGGGCUUGAGUUCGGGAGAGGGAAGCGGAAUUCCGGGUGUAGCGGUGAAAUGCGUAGAUAUCCGGAGGAACACCGGUGGCGAAGGCGGCUUCCUGGACCGACACUGACGCUGAGGCGCGAAAGCUAGGGGAGCAAACG
rnacentral:rRNA from 1 species